rnacentral:rRNA from 1 species
AACGAACGCUGGCGGCAGGCCUAACACAUGCAAGUCGAGCGAGCAUUUCGGUGCUAGCGGCGGACGGGUGAGUAACGCGUGGGAACGUGCCCUUUUCUGCGGAAUAGUCCUGGGAAACUGGGGGUAAUACCGCAUACGCCCUUUUGGGGAAAGAUUUAUCGGAGAAGGAUCGGCCCGCGUUGGAUUAGGUAGUUGGUGGGGUAAUGGCCCACCAAGCCGACGAUCCAUAGCUGGUUUGAGAGGAUGAUCAGCCACACUGGGACUGAGACACGGCCCAGACUCCUACGGGAGGCAGCAGUGGGGAAUCUUAGACAAUGGGGGCAACCCUGAUCUAGCCAUGCUGCGUGAGUGAUGAAGGCCUUAGGGUUGUAAAGCUCUUUCAGCUGGGAAGAUAAUGACGGUACCAGCAGAAGAAGCCCCGGCUAACUCCGUG